AUUGCAGAAAUGUCACAUGUCGCCAUUUUGAGAACUAGGCCUUUAACAUUUUAAAAGAAGGCAUAAAUUAGGACUAUGAAUAAGUCAGCUGUGUUUAUGCUGUAAACUACACUACUGCUAGUUCUACUACUACUGAUGAUGAUGACAAUGAUGACGAUAAUCGUAAUACUUUAUAUGCUUUGGUAAUACAGGCAAUCAAAACGUACAGGAGAACAUGCGAAGGAGACGCAUUCCUCCACGGGAGGAUGCAGUCUGUCAUGUUUCUGCUGGAAGGGACAAACUGGGACUUGAUAUCCACUACAUAAAUGCCUUCAAAGGUCGGGGCAUUUUCACGACUGUUCCAUUCCAAAAAGGAGACUUCCUUUUGGAAUACAGAGGUAAACUCAUAACAAAAGACGAAUGUGAGCGGAGACACAGAGUUUAUCAUGACAGCCUGAAGGUGUUCAUGUUUGAAUUCAAGUUUGAUGGAAAACUCUGGUGUGUGGAUGCAUCUCAAGAAGAUGGGUCAUUAGGCAGACUUGUCAACGACAACCACAUCAGUCCAAGUGCUAAGAUGAAAAUAUUAAAUAUCAAUGGAAAGCCCCAUCUAUGCUUAUUUGCA